rnacentral:rRNA from 1 species
AUACGGAGGAUCCAAGCGUUAUCCGGAAUCAUAGGGUUUAAAGGGUCCGUAGGUGGAUAAUUAAGUCAGAGGUGAAAUCCUGCAGCUCAACUGUAGAAUUGCCUUUGAAACUGGUUAUCUUGAGUCAUUAUGAAGUGGUUAGAAUGUGUAGUGUAGCGGUGAAAUGCAUAGAUAUUACACAGAAUACCGAUUGCGAAGGCAGAUCACUAAUAAUGUACUGACACUGAUGGACGAAAGCGUGGGUAGCGAACAGGAUUAGAAACCCUUGUAGUCC